GCUCAUGUAGCUCAGGGUAGAGCACACCCUUGGUAGGGUGGGGUCUGACAGUUCAAAUCGUCCAUGAGCUCCA
rnacentral:tRNA from 1 species